CCCUUUUCUGUUUACAAAAUGCAGAAAAAGCAAAUGGUCAUUCUUCUGAGUUGCAAGCUGGAGCAACUCCAAUUUUCUGUCAAAUUGGAAUCACUUGAAA